GUGACUAUUGUCAUUUUGUACCAUUUAUCAGUAACUGACAGGGGAACUGACUAAUGUUACAGUGCCAGCAGGAUUGCUGUACUCUUCAGCACACCUGAGACGGUGGCAGACACUUGUUCUGUGCUUUCCGUCCUCUUGACUGACUCAUCUUGUUCUAUCUUAAGCUCUACUAGCACAAGAAGAGGACCAUCCUCAGCAUGAUUCAUUUCCAGCACUGUAACUACACCGAAUAAGCUAAAUGUAUGGCGUGCAGCUGUGUCCUGAAUGAGGCAGAGCUGAUGCAGAUUAGCUUUUGGUGCUGCAGAUGAAGGUGAGGCCUGACUAGCAGCUCACCAUGACUCUGCAGUCUGUUCACUGCCUCCGUUCUGAUCACAGAGAUACAUGGGGAUCGUAAGAAAUACUGAAUGUGAAAUGGGUUAAUGCUGACAGGAUAUAUUUUGCAACUGAAGGCCGUUCAAAGCUUAACACCAAGGUCGGCUCACUCUGCUUUGAAUUUCAUUCUCUGUUCACUACAGUUAAAUGUUACUUCUGUUGACAUGAUUUUCUGUUCAUGUAUUCUUUCUCAUUUAACCCUGCCCUGACUUUGCAACAUGCAUCAGGUUGCCUUCUAUAUAAAGCAUCUGAAUCAAUAAAUAAAUAUGAUCUAGGUCUCCAGCAGGAGUUGCAACUCUCUCUAAUAGCGCUUUGUGUGGUGAUUAAAGUAGUUAGUAUGGUGGGAAUGCACAGUCUGUCAAUGUAGAAAUCAAAAAAAAUGUAUUUUUUGAGGGUAAGUGUUGAAUACUACAGGAACGGGCAAGGAAAGAGAGGUUUUAAACUAGCGGUGAUCUGUGCUGCUGCAGCAUUAUGGGAUUAGUGGACUCUGUGAAUUGGCAUCCAGGUAAUGAGUGAGGGAGAAGGCAGAGAAUAAACCUCUCAUGCCUUCAAUGCUACAAAGCUGGUUAAAAAUAGAGGCAGAAGAGAGGGAUUGAGAGAAUCAGGGUGGACAGAAAAGAUAUGGGUAGAAGGAAACGACAGAUUUGACUCUCAGCAAAGUAGGUGAGGAGAGAUUUACCAGGUGACCUUGGGCUGCCAGUUGAACCAAUGAAUGGCAACAUGUUAAAUACAGGAUCAUGCAAAUACAGUGAUCCUGGGUGCUGUUUUUAAGCCUCCAGCAACCUGACCUAAUGGACAAACUCUGUACAGGCUCGUCAUGUGUAUGACAAUGAUGAGUAUGUUUGGCUGUAUGCUGAUGACGUGGUUGGCCAGAAGGACAUGCUGUGCGAGAGGAGAGGGUGACGACGAGGGAGGCGCUAACCCUGGAUGCAUGAGUGAAAGUAGCAGUUCCUCCUUAAGGUCAGAGAUUGCAGCAUCUGAGGGCCUCUUCAAAAGAAGACGUAGUUGAUGAAGGCAUUCUGGAGCAGGACCAGAAAGACCACGACCAAGAAGCCUUGAGAUCUUAGGCAGCAUCUCCCUCGGGUCCCUCUCUAUCUCCCCACACAUCCACCAACCACUGGAACACAUCUCCAAAGUUCUGCCGGGCCAGCUCAGCUUCCCCUCAGAAGAAGUGGCGCCACCUGCCAGAUGAAGGACCCUUUUGAGAGGCAGCUGGCAUCGUGAUUGGACUGUACUUUGGUCUGUUCCAAUCCAGCUUCAGCUCCAGAGAGGGCAGGCGGGACGAGUCAACGGAGGCCGGGUGGACGAAGGCAUGCAGCUGAGUACAAUCCAGAAAACCUUACCAUAGUG